UGAACGCUGGCGGCGUGCUUAACACAUGCAAGUCGAACGAUGAAGCCCAGCUUGCUGGGUGGAUUAGUGGCGAACGGGUGAGUAACACGUGAGUAACCUGCCCUUGACUCUGGGAUAAGCCUGGGAAACUGGGUCUAAUACUGGAUAUGACUUCUCAUCGCAUGGUGGGGGGUGGAAAGAUUUAUUGGUCUUGGAUGGACUCGCGGCCUAUCAGCUUGUUGGUGAGGUAAUGGCUCACCAAGGCGACGACGGGUAGCCGGCCUGAGAGGGUGACCGGCCACACUGGGACUGAGACACGGCCCAGACUCCUACGGGAGGCAGCAGUGGGGAAUAUUGCACAAUGGGCGCAAGCCUGAUGCAGCGACGCCGCGUGAGGGAUGACGGCCUUCGGGUUGUAAACCUCUUUCAGUAGGGAAGAAGCGAGAGUGACGGCACCUGCAGAAGAAGCGCCGGCUAACUACGUG
rnacentral:rRNA from 1 species